AACGAACGCCGGCGGCACGCCUAACACAUGCAAGUCGCACGAGAAAGUCCCCGCAAGGGGACCGGUAAAGUGGCAGACGGGUGAGUAACGCGUGGGUAACCUACCCUCGAGUGGGGGAUAACCCCGCGAAAGCGGGGCUAAUACCGCAUAACAUCCCGGAACGCGAGUUUCGGGAUCGAAGGUGGCUCGCAAGAGCUACCGCUCGGGGGAGGGGCUCACGUUCCAUCAGCUAGUUGGUGGGGUAACGGCCUACCAAGGCGGUGACGGAUAGCUGGUCUGAGAGGACGACCAGCCACACUGGCACUGAGACACGGGCCAGACUCCUACGGGAGGCAGCAGUGAGGAAUCUUGCGCAAUGGACGAAAGUCUGACGCAGCGAUGCCGCGUGGGGA
rnacentral:rRNA from 1 species